CCAGACCUUCUGUCCAAGCUCAGGAAUUCCCAACUACCAGCUCUGAAAUCAGAAUCACCAGAACAGACAAGAGCCCCAGUGGUUAGAGUGCAGUACUGCAGGCUAUUUCUACUGACUGCUGGCUGCCAGCAAUUUGGCAGUUCAGUCCUCCCCAGCACAAGGUUGAUUCAGCCUUCAAUCUUUCCAAGGUCAGUAAAAUGAGGAUCCAGAUAGUUGGGAGCAAUAUGCCGACUCUGUAAACCACUUAGAGUGGGCUGCAAAGCAGUGGGGAGCAGUAUAUAAGUCUAAGUGCUAUUUGUUAACUAUCAUAUAUCCAAUAACUCUCUAUCUACUGUCUUUCUACAAUAUCUACCUACCUCUGUCUGUCUGUUUGCCUAUAUCUGUGUGUCCGUCUAUUUAGCUAGCUAACUAGCAAGCUCUGCUCAGUGGUUAGAAUGCGGCAUUGCAAGCUAGCUCUGCCCUCUGCCAGCAGUUCGAUCCUAACCAGCUUAGAGAAGGGUGUCAAGCUUUGUGAAGCAGUAUACAAGACUAAGUGCUAUUGCUAUUGUUAGGGUUCCAGAGUGAUUUAGCCCCACAAUGAGUUUAUUUCUACCAUGUGGAACUAUUGCCCCUUAGAGUCCCCAGGUAUUUGUUCCAUAGAGCCCCGUGCAAUUUCUACCACCUCUUUCUCCAGCUCCCUAAGCUAGAACGUGAACUUUUAGGGUCCCAAUGGGAGUUAAAGGCCACACUGGAGGCCUAGCAAUCUUUCCCAGUGACCUCGACCAGAGAGACCAAAGUGGGGAGGCAGUGUACGUUAUGGGUCCCCUCCCUUAAGGAGGUCCAUCUAAUGGGACCGAGGAGGAGAUCCUUCUGCUUGGUGGUUCCUUCCCUGGGGAACCUCAUCCCCAUGGAGAUAAGAUUGGCCUCCACCUUGAUACUCUCUCCAAAUGCCCUGGUUUUGCUUUGAUUUGGGGGCUGGGGGUGGGCAGAGCUAUUGGUUUGGUUGUUUGUCACCAGGAAGGUGGGGGGGUUUAUUGAGUUUUGCCUUUGGGGUUUUUACAUCUGUCAGCCACCUCCAGUCAAUGAGCUCUGCCUUCCAAAUCUGACUCAUUUGCAAUGCAGGCUGGGUCUGGCAUUCACUUCACCCACUCAGCCUCAGGGAUUCCUGCCCUUUAUUGUCCCCCUCGCGGAAGUGGGUGUGACUCAGGAGCAAGCAGCAGAAGAGAAUUCAGAAUAACGGAGUUGGAAUGUGUGUUGGAGGUCAUCUAGUCCAACCCCCUGCUCAAGCAGGAGACCCCAUGCCAUUCCAGAUAAAUGGUUGUCCAAUCUCCUCUUUAAAACCUUAAAAACCUCCAGUGAUGGACACCCACAGUUUCUGGAGGCAACUCAUUGUUCUCACUGACAGGAAAUUUCUCCUUAAUUCUAGGUUCGAUCUCUCUUUGUCCCAGCCAAGAAUUAAGAUUUAGGACUUAACAAAUUCCUUGUUGUUGUUGACCAACCGAGUGUUCGGCGGCAGCAGCCAAAGGCCUGGGUCUCUCAAGGUCCACUGUCCAGGGUCUGGGCAUGAGCUCAGAGGCCAAAACAUACCACCGGUGUUAAGGAAUCAUAUGUGUGUCUUCCCCUGUAACAACUUUUGUUGAAUUUUGUCUUGUAGGUUAUUUGCACCCGUUCCUCGAUUGAGGGGCUCUGUUCAGAAUCAGUGAUGUUCUAGUCACCUCCCGGUAGGACCUCUGUAAUAGACUCUAUAUGGGGCUGCCCUUGAAGAAGCCUGGUUUAGCUCAACAGACAGAAGCACUGUAAUUUAACACCAGCUGUCUGCAAUUAAAGUAAGAUCGAAUCCCGCCAGGCUCAAGGUUGAUUCAGCCUUCCAUCCUUUCUAAGGUAGGUAAAUUGAGGACCCAGUUUGUGGGGGCAAUAAGCUGACUUUGUAUAAAAUAUACAAAAGGAUGAAGGCUAUUGCUUAACGCACUGUAAGCCACCCUGAGUCUCCAGAGAAGGGCGGCAUAUAAAUCAAAUUAAAAAAAAAAAAAAAAGAGUUUCCAGAAGCUUUAGCUGGUGCAAAAUUGUUGGAAGAAAUAUCCUUCUGGGUUCACCUCCAAGUGGGGAAAAAGACACUGGAAAUAUGGAGACUGCUUGGAAAGAUGGUUUAAUGGUGGACAGGAUCACAUGGUUUGAGUUCCUGAACAGAAAAAGGGGCCAAGACAGAGCGAAUCCCGGGGUUUUAUGCUUUCUCUGGCUUUGAACUUCCUGGGGCCCCAAAAGAGCAUCCUGAUUGGUUGUCAGACUCCCAGGGGGUGGGGGUCUUAGCUAGCCUUGCUGAUAGAUGUAAUCUUCCCAGGUGCCAUGUGGUGAGUUGCUGUUGCUAUUGUGUUGCAGAUGGGUCCUAUUGUCAAAGAUUGAGUUUCUGCCUCUGGCCCAUUAACAAAGGGGGGUUGGGGGGGGGAGGCAGGAAGGUGGGAGUUGCUUUGUCUUUAAAACAUGUUUCUCCAUUUCUCAACCAGGGGAACAUAAUAUUCUGCCUUUUUAAUAUUUCCUAAAAUAUUUCAUUCUUCUAGGAAAGGGGUGGGUGCUAACUUCCUACAAAAUGAAGUGGCACAGGCAGUGACGUGAGUUUCCAAAAGAACAGACUUUAUACCUCUGCUCUGAGAGUCACACUGCUUGUUCAGGCUGCUUCUGGGUCCAGUUCAGAGCAUGGUGAGGUGGAGGCACAGCCCCAGCUGAGUUCUGACAUCUCCCCGUCCAAAUAGACAGGAAGAGCCAGGAGAAGCCUGGAAAGGGAAGAGGGUGAAGGGCAGAAUUGGGGGAAGGGAGGAUCUGCAGCUCCAGCUCUUCCUUUCAGGCGAUUGUGAAAAGAUUUGACUUCACAGCUGUGGAAGCUGGAUCGCAGCCAGAAGACGCCCCCCUCCCUCCUUCAAAGACCUCGGCUGGAGACUUUCCCAGUUUGGGAGGAUGGGACUGGAGGGAAGCUCAGCCGUUAACUGGAAAGGGCUGGUCGUGAGGGGGGGAGGGGGAGGGGGAGGAGGUGGUGGUUAGAAUUUUGAACAGUCUCCUUUCACUUUCACUCUUGGCUCAGAAAUAUGAGAAAACCCUGAAACUCCUUAAAGAGGGAGGAAAGAAAGGCAUUUUCUUGCGAAGGAGGCAUUUCCGAGGCCCAGCCAGGGACAGCGCCUCUCUCCCUUCCCUCCCCGCUUUCCCCCUCCCCCAUUGCAAGACUCGCUGAGGGGACCCUGAACCUGUGGAGAAGGGCUGGCACUUAACGCUCGGAGGAUGCGGUGCAGGGGUGAAAUCCUACUGGUUCGGACCGGUAUUAUGGGCAUCAGUUCGCCGAACUGGUUGUAAUUACCCCUCCUUGGCCUCACUCAUGCCCAGGUGCUCACCUCUUCCAGCCACUGGAUAUUCCAUAGAAUUCAAUAUUAAAUGCAGCAGAGAGAAUGCUAACUUUUCUCCCCCCCCCCAUUGAGAAUGGAGCUGCUGCCGCCUGUCCCUUUGAGGUAGUCCCCAGGAGGGAGGGAGCCGGGAGGGAACCAUAAAGGAAGCAGCAGCUCCGUUGGGAAUAGAGGGAGAAAAGUUAGCAUUCUCUCUGCCACAGAAUUCAAUGGUUAAAUGCAGCAGAGAGAAUGGUAACUUUUCUCCCUCCAUUCACAAGGGAAAUGUUGCAGAAAAUCAAAGGGCUUAGACUUCGAGUUCACAAGAAGCUUUAUUUGGCCAAAGGUUCAGACAGAAAAGAUAAACCAUCUAACAUCUGAACAACGUUCUGAUUAAGACACGCAUUCUCAUAGUCUUCAAAAGCAGCAAAAACACGGAAAUAUGUGAAAUCAUUCCUAUUGGCUAAGCCCCUUAUUGCUGGGCAGAAAAGCUGAUGAUAUCUUGUGCCUGAGACACAGGUGUCCAUGCUGUCCCAUGUGGUUUUUAGUUCUGCAUUUUGACAUGGAAGUAAGAAAGUUAGCUAACUCUGCGGUUUGACUUUUUGAACUCAGAAACUGUCUCUUACAAUAACUAGCUCGAGGGACCUUUAGAGAUCAUCCAAGCCAACCCCGUAUCAUUUCACUCUUGUAUCCAAAUCUCACUUUACGUCCUACUUUAGAGCUGCUGCAACCUGUCCCUUUUAAGGUAGUCCCCAGUAAAGUGAAUAAUGUGAAUAAUAGAAUAAUGUGAAUAAUGUGAAUGGUAUAAGGUCAGCUAUAUGAACACUGGAGGAUCCUCUUUAUUCACAUUAUUAUAAAGAAAGAAAUGUGCUUGUUCAGAGUGUAGGAAGUUUGCACCCACCCCUUUCCUGGAAGAGUGAAAUAGUUUAGGAAAUAUGAAAAAGGCAGAAUAUUAUAUUUCCCUGGGAGAAGCAGCUCCCACCUUCCUGCCCCCCACCCUUUGUUAAUGGGACAGAGGCAGAAACCCAAUCCUUUGUCAAAGGACAUUUGCAACACAAUAGCAACAGAAACUAACACAAUGGGACCCAUCUAGCCGAGGCUCACCACAUGGCACCUGGGAAGAUUGCAUCAGCCAGCAAGACCCCCACCCCCUGGGAGUCUGACAACCAAUCAGGAUACUCUCUUGGGGCCCCAAGAAAUGCAGAGCCAGAGAGAGCAUAAAAACCGGAGGAUUUACUGUAUCUGCCCCUUUUCUGUUCAGGAACUCAAGCCAUGUGAUCCUGUCCACCAUUAAACCAUCUUUCCAAGCAGUCUCCAUGUUUCCAGUGUCUGUUUUCCCCACUUGGAGCAGAACCUAGAAGGAUGUUUCUUCCAACAAGAGAUUACACUGUCAGCUAAAUUCCAUUCUUGGCAGCAUAUCUUCUGAGGGGCCUAUCUGUCAAGGAUGCAGAGACAUCCAUCUAAAACAAAAACUUAAUUUAUUAAUCCAAGGCCAGCCAUGAAUCUACGCAUCAGCGGAUACAGAACUAAGGAGGAUGUGUAGGAAGUUAGCACCCACCCCUCUCCUGGAAGAGUGAAAUAUUUUAGGAAAUAUGAAAAAGGCAGAAUAUUAUAUUUCCCUGGGAGAAGCAUGUUCCCUGGGAGAAGCAGCUCCCACCUUCCUGCCCCCCACCCUUUGUUAAUGGGACAGAGGCAGAAACCCAAUCCUUUGUCAAAGGACAUUUGCAACACAAUAGCAACAGAAACUAACACAAUGGGACCCAUCUAGACGAGGCUCACCACAUGGCACCUGGGAAGAUUGCAUCAGCCAGCAAGACCCCCACCCCCUGGGAGUCUGACAACCAAUCAGGAUACUCUCUUGGGGCCCCAAGAAAUGCAGAGCCAGAGAGAGCAUAAAAACCGGAGGAUUUACUGUAUCUGCCCCCUUUUUCUGUUCAGGAACUCAAGCCAUGUGAUCCUGUCCACCAUUAAACCAUCUUUCCAAGCAGUCUCCAUGUUUCCAGUGUCUGUUUUCCCCACUUGGAGCAGAACCUAGAAGGAUGUUUCUUCCAACAAUUGGCGAGCCAGUGGGACUCCAAGCUAACCUAACCAAUGGACCAGGCCCAGGUAAGCCUCCCUUGCUAGCAGCAGACCCAUUGAGUCUGUGGGUAGGUUUUUGUGGACCUUGGCCAUUUGGAACUAGGUUUUAAAGGGGUUUUGAGUUUGAGCUCAAAGGCUGCUUGGAAAGAAGGUGAGUACCUCUAAAUUUUAAUUUUGAAGUAUGGAAAAGCAUGGGAAAUUUGUGUAUGCCUGCAUGUGUGUGAGUGAAGGCCCUUCUCCCAAGUACAGCUGGAUCUUGCUUCCUCUGUGCAUUUCCUAGCCGCAGAAAGACUAACAGUCUGGAGAGCAUGGGGGUUUUGCCAGAGCACAGGACCUUCUGUUAGGAAAGAAGGAAGUGUGUGUGUGGGAUUCCACCUGGAAAACAGUCAGAUUUCACCUCUUUGAGUGACCUCUAGCCGCCCCUCUGCCUACUGCUAGCUCCACCGAGCCAUGACCGGUAGGAUAGAGAAAGCAAGGGGGGGUUGCCAAACGUGGAACUUUGUGUUUAAAAGGAAUGGAAGCCGAGCGAACAGAAGCGUGUGAAGAGGGGGGUAAUAAAAUUGUGAAAGGGAAACCCGGUUUUGUCCAGCCCAGACACGGGGCGAGCAUGUGUUUGUGAAAGAGGAGGUGCCCACACCUGGCUGCAGGGGUCAGCAGGUCCUCGUGGAUCCCCUUUUUGGAUCCGAAAAGUUGUGGUGAUUCCCUAGAGGAAGGGGCCCAUACUUCGCAAGGGAAUCGAAGUCCUUCCCAGAGCUUUUUCCUCUGAAAACUGAGAGCGUGCCACCCGGCUAAGUCGAAGUGAUCCUUCCGGAGAAAAGGAAAGGGUCAUGGGUAGCGAUAGUUCGCGGGUGGCGGGGACCCCAGUAGAUGAAGUGCUCGCGGCCUGGGACGCCAGGCGGGUGCCCAUAUUGAGGGGCAUGGAUAAAAGGAAAUUAGGAAAAUUGUGUCAAAAAUGGGCUUUGCUAAGAGAUAACACCGGGAGACAAAUUUGGCUAAAUAAAGGUACUUAAAAGAAAAGGGAAAUAUAUAAAUAGGAAUGUUGGGGGUUUUGUUUGUUUUGUUUGUUUGUUUGUUUGUCUCUGUCUUCUAUGCAACCACGUGGUAUGUUUAAGAUUUGUGCCUUCCCUAAUUUAACUGAGAUUGACAUGGGAAUGAUCAGUAUGUGUGAAAUCUCAGAGUUCUGCUUUCUUCUCUUUGUCCUUCUUCUCUUCAUGUGUGUGUGUCUAAGUCUUUGUGCGCCCUCGAGGUAAUUGUAACUGUAAAAUGUAUCUGAUCUCUAGAGACAAGAAUUUUAAAUUGUUAGAAAAGGGGGAAAAAAAGGUUGAAACAAUGAAAAUGGGGGAGAGAGAGAAAAAAAAGAAAGAAAGAGCCUUUGCCCUGUGUUUGUCUGGCCAACAAAGACAGAGUAAGGAGACAUUUUAUUUCUGGUUUUUUUCUCUCCUUCCCUCUCUGUAUCUUAAAGUAACAACUCAAGUUUAUGAGGAAACGUUUUAAGUUCAUUUACAAGAAAAAAAAAUCAGUCUUGCAUUUACUGUAUGUGUUUAAAUGGGUUUACCUGUUCAUCUCUUUCCUGAAGCAUGUGAAUCCAGUUUUUUUUCUUAUCUGUUGUGUUUCCAUUUUGUUGAAACUGCAUUAUCUGUUUAGUAACUGCAAUACUGUUGUGUUGUUUCUUUUCAAACUCUGCCUGCAAGCUAUCUACCCCCCCCCAUCUGUAAUCCUGUUACAAUGGCUUUCCUGGGAAGAUUACCCACAAAAAGGGGGAGGGGACCCUGUUCUAAUGUCUUUCAGCCCUGCACAAAGGACUCUGCAACCUGUGGAAGCAGAGCACAUGGAUCCAGAUGCUGCCUCCAGAGGAGACCUUCCAUUUGAUUGAACCAGGAAUUGGAUUUGAAUCCAGCCUCCACUGAAAGUCAUCACAGCAACCAGAGUGGAGCAGUUCUUCCCAAGCCUGACUGACCAGCCUUACCACCAAGCAUGCUACCCAGCAGACAUGAAAGAAAAGACCCUGAGAUGUACAACACCAAAAGACUCUUUUCAAUCCUCAGAAGACAGCUGGAAAGACUAUGGGGGAGGGUGGAAAUUCAUUGUAAGGUUUUCUUUCUUGUCUCAUUUAUAUUGUAAUCAGUUUAUUGUAAGAAUUGUAUUUGGGAGUGAUUGCCACAGCAAGUUAUGUACACUCUAGAUUUCUGUCUGGUGGAGAGGAGAAAUAUGUCCAAAAUGUUUGUAUUGCCUGUAUUGUAAAAGUAGCUGCAUACACAUGCACACACAGAGAGACACACACUAUUCAGAAUUAGAUUGAAACUAUUCCCUUCCCUUACCUCCACACAAAGCUUCUCCUAGGUUGAUUUUUGCUCUGUAGCACUAAAAGCCCAAGUAGUCAUAUCUCCCUGCUAAUUCCAUGGGGAAGGAAGCAAUCCCCCUCAGGCAAUUCCCUCACUUGAAGAGAUAGCAGAAAAGUGAUCUCCAAAACCCAAGCCCUGACUGUGACUUACAAAUGAUGCUGCCCAGUUGCCCAGUAAAGGAAGAUAUAUUGCACUGGUGGUCUCAUGAGUAGAAAUCCCAGGGCUCAUUAUGUGUAACACCAAAAAAAAAAAAAAAGAAUAGAUAUUGUACACUGGCUAACCUCAAUUUGGACUCACAAAUCCUGGAUGCAAUAAAGUAAGAGCUAGGGCAGGUUCAGUAACCAACCCAUGAAAUGGGCAGCCUGUAAUUUAAAGGAAAACUAUGGCUGUGAAAAAUUUUGGGACAUGUGCUUGCUUGAAACCUGACUGGAAGCUCACAGAAAGUAAUAUCUGAAGUCUGAAAUUAAUUGGCAUGGAAAAUUGGAUACUGUAAAAUUCUUACCAGAAAUUUUUUCCUGGCUGCUAGACCUUCAUGGUUGAAAGCUUUUGGAAGCCACUGAAGGAAUCCUUUUCUGUUGCCUCUAUCAAUGCCUCCCCUUUGCAUUAGAAAAUUAAAAGCACCCAUUAAGCCUCCCUGAUGUGAUCAAUUUUAAUCUUUUGCCAAGAACUUGUUUCAAAACUCACGUUUUGAAAAAAAAAAGAGUAGGGAUUGUAGGAAGUUAGCACCCACCCCUCUCCUGGAAGAGUGAAAUAUUUUAGGAAAUAUGAAAAAGGCAGAAUAUUAUAUUUCCCUGGGAGAAGCAUGUUCCCUGGGAGAAGCAGCUCCCACCUUCCUGCCCCCCACCCUUUGUUAAUGGGACAGAGGCAGAAACCCAAUCCUUGUCAAAGGACAUUUGCAACACAAUAGCAACAGAAACUAACACAAUGGGACCCAUCUAGACGAGGCUCACCACAUGGCACCUGGGAAGAUUGCAUCAGCCAGCAAGACCCCCACCCCCUGGGAGUCUGACAACCAAUCAGGAUACUCUCUUGGGGCCCCAAGAAAUGCAGAGCCAGAGAGAGCAUAAAAACCGGAGGAUUUACUGUAUCUGCCCCUUUUCUGUUCAGGAACUCAAGCCAUGUGAUCCUGUCCACCAUUAAACCAUCUUUCCAAGCAGUCUCCAUGUUUCCAGUGUCUGUUUUCCCCACUUGGAGCAGAACCUAGAAGGAUGUUUCUUCCAACAGAUGUUUAGCUAAAAUUAUCUUGUGUACUAUAAAUUAAGGCAGGAAUUUAGUAAUUAAAAAGUGUCAAUUAUCAUGUAACGGAUGUAUGUUAACCAUAUAUGGAAAACUGCUGUGCCAGCAAAGUCCUUUGCCUUGGAUAUGUACAAAAGCAGUUGUAUCAGAACUCUUCCUUUGUUCAGAAUUGCAGAUACAAAUCUGGUUCUGAAACUGCGCAAUAAACUGACUCUGGCUGACCAAG